rnacentral:rRNA from 1 species
UACGUAGGCAGCAAGCGUUGUUCGGAGUUACUGGGCGUAAAGGGUGCGUAGGCGGUUGUUUAAGUUUGGUGUGAAAUCUCCCGGCUCAACUGGGAGGGUGCGCCGAAUACUGAAUGACUAGAGUGCGGGAGAGGAGAGUGGAAUUCCUGGUGUAGCGGUGAAAUGCGCAGAUAUCAGGAGGAACACCGGUGGCGAAGGCGGGUCUCUGGGCCGAUACUGACGCUGAGGAGCGAAAGCGUGGGGAGCAAACAGG